AUUGAACGCUGGCGGAAUGCUUUACACAUGCAAGUCGAGCGGCAGCACGGGGGCAACCCUGGUGGCGAGCGGCGAACGGGUGAGUAAUACAUCGGAACAUGCCCAGUCGUGGGGGAUAAUACUUCGAAAGAAGUGCUAAUACCGCAUACGUCCUGAGGGAGAAAGCGGGGGGAUCGCAAGACCUCGCGCGAUUGGAGUGGCCGAUGUCAGAUUAGCUAGUUGGUGGGGUAAAGGCCUACCAAGGCAACGAUCUGUAGCUGGUCUGAGAGGAUGAUCAGCCACACUGGGACUGAGACACGGCCCAGACUCCUACGGGAGGCAGCAGUGGGGAAUUUUGGACAAUGGGGGCAACCCUGAUCCAGCCAUUCCGCGUGAGUGA
rnacentral:rRNA from 1 species